rnacentral:misc_RNA from 1 species
GAUGAAGAACGCAGCGAAAUGCGAUACGUAAUGUGAAUUGCAGAAUUCAAUGAAUCAUCGAAUCUUUGAACGCAUAUUGCGCUCUCUGGUAUUCCGGAGAGCAUGCUUGUUUGAGUAUCAGUAAACACCUCAACUCCCUUUUCUUUUUUGAAAUGGGAGCUGGACUUGAGUGAUCCCAACACUUUUUUCACUGGAAAGUGGCGGGUCACUUGAAAUGCAGGUGCAGCUGGACUUUUCUCUGAGCUAUAAGCAUAUCUAUUUAGUCUGCCUAAAAAACAGAUUAUUACCUUUGCUGCAGCUAACAUAAAGGAGAUGAGUUCUUGUGCUGACUGAUGCAGGAUUCACAGAGACAGCUUUGCGGCUGACUUUGUAAACUCGAUCUCAAAUCAAGUAAGACUACCCGCUGAACUUAAGCAUAUCAAUAAGCGGAGGA